rnacentral:rRNA from 1 species
AUGUUGACCUCAAGACAGGCUGAUCGGGAGCUGAAGAAGUUUGAGGAAGCACAACAGCCAUCGGCUGCGGAUUUUAUGCGUUUGAUCCAGUCGCAACAGGAGAGAUAUUUCAACAUUUCAUCUUUGCUCCUUUCCAUUACAAAAGAGGACGGCAAGUCUGAAACAAAGGUUCCGCCCGACAAGCAAUCCUUUCACUCAAUAUCAAUAAGGUGUGAUGAUGGAGCCGUCUUGGAAAUUUUAAUACGUGAAAACGAUAACUAUGUUGUUGGUUUUCGUGUAUAUCUCAACAUCGAGGCUAGGAAUGAAACCCCGUGGAGAACCUUUGGUGUGAAGUUGCCUAGCCGAUUGUGGGUAUCUGAGCCAACAAAGUAUAAGUCUCAACAUGGGGAACUGGAAAAGGUGCAAUUUGGUCAAGGAAUUCUCUUGAAAAUUGUCGAUUUUCUUAAAGAUCUUCAACGUCAUCCUGACCAAGAAAUGACAGACUUAGGCCAGAGAUAUGUUUGCACACUCUUCCUCUUGUUUGGCGAGGCACAGAGAUUUGCCAAGGCCAGGCAGUGGGUUCUUGAUGCUGUUGACAGUCCCAUUGCGUUGACGAACCUGUAUGGAGUUGUCAAAGACAGGAAUGGAGUUGUAUGUGGCUAUGUGGGAGGAAAGGAAUUUGUUGUUCAAGUACAAAGGAAGGUUUGA